rnacentral:rRNA from 1 species
UAAAAAGUAAUGCCUUAGGACGAGUCGGCGGCAGAUUAGGUAGUUGGCGGUGUAAUGGACCACCAAGCCGAAGAUCUGUACGGGUCGUGAGAGCGAUCGCCCGGAGAAGGACACUGAGACACGGGUCCUAGCCCCACGGGGUGCAGCAGACGCGAAAACUUUACACUGCACGAAAGUGCGAUAAGGGAACCCAAAGUGCUUAUACUUUUAGUAUAGGCUUUUGCCAAAGGCAAAAUCUUUGGCGAAUAAGUGGUGGGUAAGACGGGUGCCAGCAGCCGCGGUAAUACCCGCGCCACAAGUGGCAAUCGGUUUUAUUUGGUCUAAAGCGUCCGUAGCAGGUCAAGCAAGUCUCUUGUGAAAUUGUUAGGCUCAACCUAACAGAAGGCAGGAGAUACUACUAGACUUGGAAUUGGUAGGGGUCAGAAGUAUUCUUAGGGUAGCGGUAAAAUGUUAUAAUCCUGAGAAGACUACCAGUGGCGAAGGCGUCUGACCAGGACAAGUUCGACUGUGAGGGACGAAAGCUAGGGGAGCGAAACGGAUUAGAUACCCGUGUAGUCCUAGCCGUAAACGCUGCAAGCAAGGUGUUGCAUAUUCUUCGGGAAUGUGCGGUAUCGAAACGAAGGUGUUAAGCUUGCCACCUGGGGAGUAUGGUCGCAAGACUGAAACUUAAAGGAAUUGGCGGGGGAGCACCACAAGGGGUGCGGCGUGCGGUUCAAUUCAACUCAACACGGAGAAUCUCACCAGAAGCGACGGCAGGAUGAAAGUCAGAUUAAAGGUUUUACUUGACGAGCCGAGAGGUAGUGCAUGGCCGUCGUCAGCUCGUGCCGUGAGGUGUCCUGUUAAGUCAGGCAACGAGCGAGACCUGUAUCUACAAUUGCCAGCAGCUUAUUGGACUGGGCACAUUGUAGAGACUGCCUUGGAAACAAGGAGGAAGGUGCAGGCUACGGUAGGUCUGUAUGCUCCGAAUCUUCUGGGCUACACGCGCGCAACAAUGAUAGCGACAAUGGGAUGCAACUCCGAAAGGAGAAGCUAAUCCUCGAAACGCUACCUUAGUUUAAAUUGAGGGUUGUAACUCACCCUCAUGACACUGGAAUCCCUAGUAAUCGGGUUUUAUCAUAACCCGGUGAAUAUGUCCCUGCUCCUUGCACACACUGCCCGUCAAACCACUCGAGCAGGGUUUAGGUGAGUAUAGGUUUUUUGAUUUAUACGAACCUAAGCUCAGUGAGAUGGGUUAAGUCGUCACAAGGUA